CCGUGUGCCAUGACCAACGGCCCUUUGGGGUGAGGUAGUAGGUUGUAUAGUUUGGGGCUCUGCCCUGCUCUGGGUAACUAUACAAUCUACUGUCUUUCCUGAAGUGGCUGUAAUAUCGCCGAUGGACA
rnacentral:pre_miRNA from 12 species